rnacentral:rRNA from 1 species
AUUGAACGCUGGCGGCAUGCCUUACACAUGCAAGUCGAACGGUAACGCGGGGCAACCUGGCGACGAGUGGCGAACGGGUGAGUAAUGCAUCGGAACGUGCCCAGUAGUGGGGGAUAGCCCGGCGAAAGCCGGAUCAAUACCGCAUACGCCGUAUGGGGGAAAGCGGGGGACCGCAAGGCCUCGCGCUAUUUGAAGGGCCGAUGUCAGAUUAGGUUGUUGGUGAGGUAAAGGCUCACCAAGCCGACGAUCUGUAGCUGGUCUGAGAGGACGACCAGCCACACUGGGACUGAGACACGGCCCAGACUCCUACGGGAGGCAGCAGUGGGGAAUUUUGGACGAUGGGCGCAAGCCUGAUCCAGCCAUGCCGCGUGCGGGAAGAAGGCCUUCGGGUUGUAAACCGCUUUUGUCGGGGAAGAAAUCUUCUGGGCUAAUACCCCGGGAGGAUGACGGUACCCGAAGAAUAAGCACCGGCUAACUACGUGCCAGCAGCCGCGGUAACAC